CCUAGAACUUGUUUUCUUUUUUUCAUCCUCCUGCCAAUUUAGCAAUGCUUUUUUAAUUCCUUAUUUCUGUUUAUUCCUCAAGACUCCUACGGUGAGUAUUUUAGUAACAGUUAGCUGAGGUUAGUCACAUCAGUCUUGGUAACCAGAUCUGUCUAUGUGCUGCUCCCAGGGAAGUGUGAUACUGCUGUUUAUGGAGUGUUGGGAGGUCCUCUCCAGGCACCUGAGGAGAAUCAGCACUCAGGCUCUGUGUGUACCCCUCUCCUCAUACUCAGGCAGCCAUCCGAGCACUGAUCUUAGAUCUACUUACUGGUACCCAAGGAGUAAAUACUGUGAAGUAUCCUCUGACAAUGGAAUUAGAUGCAUCAUUCAACAGGCAUGCUGAGCUGAUCAUUUGGACAAAAUACAUCUUGGCCUUCACAAAGGGAGUGCAUUAGGGGUCAGGAAGUGACUCCUCAUGGUGUUCCAGUGAACUGACGACUGAAUAGUUUGUGAAACAGCAAGCAUUUACCACUGUUGGAGGCAGUCUACUAGACAAGGUAAUUAAUCUAGUUACUUAUUUUUACAGUAUGCAAUAUGGCAAAUUGCAUAUUCCUACGUCUUACCUUUUUGAUUGGUUUUGAAGAAUUCAUCACUUGUGUACGUGUUGCUUUCUAAAGUUCUUUCUCCAUUGCUAAUCUGUGGAAAGCGUUUGUUAACAUCCCUUUCCUCCCCAUUUUUGAGUGUGCAUGAGAUGCAGUAUGAGAAAUGCUAAUGAAAAUCCUUUCACAGCAUGCAACUGAAGGUCAUGUGUAAGAGCCUGGUUCUUUCUCUUUUUCUCCUUAUGAAUGAAAAUAUUGUUCUAACGUAGCAUACCAAAAAUGAAUUUCCAGAUGAAAAGUGCACAUUAUUACUGCCAACCUUAGCAGAGGGAGAUAUCUAGCUACUCAUAUUCAACCUAAUGAGAAACUCCUUUCAACACUAUUAGAAACCCCAAGAUUUUUAUCUUUUUCCUAAGAAAGAGGAGAUAAUUAUCCUUGGACGUUUUAACAGAUUGCCAGUGUUUUAGGGUUUUUAAACUAGAACAAAUGUGCAUUCCUAUUGCUUUAUGAGAUGUAAUUCUUAAUAAGAUGUAACUCUUCUAGAAAACAAAAAUACUGAAUGAUGUUUUAUUUUCUUGGGGGGUGGAAGAGGUGUGUUUUUACUAACCAAGGUUUUGUAAUCUGAAUGCUCAAUAUGAGGGCUUACUAACCCAUUUUUACCCAGUAACAGAGUGAUUUGCAUUGUCAUUAUAUGCUUGCAAUUAAACCAAUGGCUAGAAACCAAGAAAUAAAUUGAGUGCCAACUGAUGAAAAAUAAGAAAUAAACUUUCACUAGUAUUUCCAUUGAUGCACGUAUUCUAACAAGGAAGUUUAGGUUGGGCUCUUUGGAACUCUGGUCACAAUACCUGGGUAUUGAAAAUAGCUUUUUUCUUAGUCCCCACAGAAAGCUGUAAGGUGAUAAGAACUGAUAUUGGGAAAGGAAUUUCCUUGCAGCUGCAGUGCAGAUCUUGCACAGUAUACUCAGACAAUAAUGAAAAUAAACUAUUUUGUGUGUUAUCUUAGGUAUUGUCACUGUCAGAUUCAUGGUACCAGACUUGAUGGCCUGAUCAUCUCACAAAGUAACAAGCAAUAUAUUCUUGUCACAUACAUCAUCAUUUCAUCCUAAUUUAAUUGUCUUCCAAGUGAAAAUUCUUCUAAAAUAUUUUCUAUAUUUUCAUCUUUAAUUGGCUUGUACGAUGUUAUUUGGUAACCAAGUAUUGUUUAUGUACAUAG